AACGAACGCUGGCGGCAGGCUUAACACAUGCAAGUCGAACGCUUGGGAGCGAUCCCUUGAGUGGCAGACGGGUGAGUAACGCGUGGGAACAUACCCUUCGGUACGGAACAACUUGGGGAAACUCGAGCUAAUACCGUAUGCGGCCUAUGGGCGAAAGAUUGUAUCGCCGAAGGAUUGGCCCGCGUCCGAUUAGCUAGUUGGUGGGGUAACGGCCCACCAAGGCGACGAUCGGUAGCUGGUCUGAGAGGAUGGCCAGCCACAUUGGGACUGAGACACGGCCCAAACUCCUACGGGAGGCAGCAGUGGGGAAUAUUGGACAAUGGGCGCAAGCCUGAUCCAGCGAUGCCGCGUGUGUGAAGAAGGCCUGCGGGUUGUAAAGCACUUUCAGUAGGGAAGAAAAGACCGAGUGCUAAUAUCACUCGGUCUUG
rnacentral:rRNA from 1 species